GCUGCCUGUACAGUCCCACAGUUGUUCCUUCGCAAGUCUCUGGCAGUGUAAGAAAGACUGCAGAGGCAACCAGUCUCUGUCCUAGUUUUUCCAGUUCAGCUUGGACCUUAAUACAAAAUCUUUUUGACUUGGUUGAUUUCAGAAAACGUGCUGCAGCUGUACAUGGUGGCCAAUGUCCCUCUGCCUGGGGACAUUGUGCUUGUCUGGUGUUGCACCAACCCCUGAAGUUGCAGUGAGACUCUUUCAGUAGGAGGAGGGAUGAGGAAAGAGGUUCAGAUCAAGGAGUGUGGAAGAAGAUAAGGGAAAAAUCUAGGAACUGAAGACUGGCUCUGAAGAGAAACAAGGAACAUCAUGUGGAGAGGUAAUGGUGAGAAGUGCUACUUCCUUCAUAUGAACUGGCUUAAUUUCUGGAUCCUUGAUGGAGAAGUCUGAAGUUUAAGCUUUUUUCCUCUCCUAUUUCCCCCAUUGGUCUUACAGCAAAUGAAUAUGCAACAGCCUGGUUGAAAUCACAAAUCUUUAAUCAAAAUGAGAAGUUUAGGAUUUUCCAGACUUCUUUACAGAAUUCAGCCUUGUAGUUUUAUAUCGGACAAAACUCAGUGAACAUUCUAGCCUUCAAGGCAUCAAAGCCAAGCAUCUAAUUCAGUUCUAUGUGGGACAAGAUUUUGUCAAAACAUUCAGAGACUGGAAACACAUGGAUAAAAAUAUAUACUUCUCAAUUUUUAACUAUGUAUUUAGAAUAGAUUUAGCCCAAGUCUUGACAAGAGUAAAUUUAGCACAAGUAUGAGAAAUAAAAAUUUAGAAUCAUAGAAUGUCCUGAGUUGGAAGGGACCCAUAAGGAUCAUCAAGUCCAACUCCUCUCCCUGCAUACGACAACACCACAGUUCACAUCAUGUGUCUGAGGGCAUUGUCAAGUAUCUUCUUGAAUACUGUCAGGUUUGGGGCCAUGACUACCUCAAUUUAUGGCAGUGUAGAAUAUAUGCAAGACAGAGAGAUACUAACAUCACGUAAGGAAAGAAAAAAAAUUGCCUAUUGAGAGUGCUAAACUAAAAAUGAUGUGAGAGAGGAUAAUAAAUUGAUUUUUAUGACCUAAAAGACAUUUUUUCCUCUUAUUUUUUUCUCUAAAGUUCUUCUGUGUCUGUUGUUUAUUUUUCCCCCUCAUAAUGUAGAGAUACCUACUGUAGAAGUGUACAGAUCUGAAAUAAGUAAUUUGAUGUGUUCUUUAAAAUAAUUUUAAAAAAGAAGAGGAUCUGAAUUGUUCUCUACCUUCUGCUGCAUUUUACUUCCUAAAGAUUUCCUUGCAAAUCAAACAAUGUAUGGACUGCUAAGCAGGCAGUAUAAUAACUGUCUUUUAGUGAAUAACAGCAUGAAAAAAUCCUGUAAAAAUGUUUUUGCACUCAAACAACAACUUCUUUUUUUUUGAAGUUUGCCUGUAACAAUCUCUGAUGUUUCUGUUUGAUCAAUUAAAUUAUCCAUGCCUCUAUCUCCUGAAAGUUAGCUGAUUGUUUUUUCUUACAUGAGGAAAGAUUUCAAUAACAGAGAAUAUAGCUGCUUUGCAUUCUAUGGAAUAAAAAGAACAGUAUCUAAUGGCAAUUUAUUUUAUCCUAAAAUACAUUUGUAGUUUGUUAAAGAUGAAUUAUCCUAUAGAAGUAACUUGUUCCAUCUCUGUUAACUGUAAAAUAUACAGUAGAGAAACUUCUGCUAGAUGCUUGAGGUUAUAAAUGAACACCAUCCUAAAAUAUUACAAUAUUGAGUUCAAAUCCUUCUGAAGUUGCCUGUUUCUUUCUAUAUCUACAUUUAAUGAGAUUAGGCUUAGGAGUUUGUCCCUAAAUAUCUAAAACCAAGUAAGAUUCAUUCUUUCUAAAUACAGACAUUAUUAGCAACACAGUUAUAACUGUAAGGUUUAAAAUUACAUAGGACAUCUUUCCUUACAACAUUGCCUGAUUAUAUUACUUAAAUAACUGAAGCUAAAAAAUGCAGUUAAAAUGAAACACACUUGGUUUAAAAGAAUUUGACUACUUAAAGUACUUUUGGAGUGAGUCUCUUAGCUUUACAAAUGGGUAGACUAUUUGAUUUGAAACAGCAUAGGUCUGCUGACAUUGAAUAUUUACUGCGAAGUCAGUGUGGUGGUUAUUGUACUUAGUAAGGACAUGACUGUUUAGAGACAUUUAUUUUUAUAAUUAUUUGCUGGACUAUUGUAUGGUAGUUGUACUAUAUUGUUUAAAGUUUGUUACCCCCUUUUUUUACUUCCAUCACCAUGUGUCUCAGGGUGCCCAGGGCUACUGAUGUAUACCUUUGUAUGUGUGCUAAUUUAAUGAAAAGGAACAAAAUUAAAAAAAAAAAAAAGUCAA